rnacentral:rRNA from 1 species
UUACGCUGUUAUCCCUAAGGUAAUUUAGUCUUAUAAUCACUAAAAAUGGAUCAAAAAUAUAUAAAUAAAUAUAAGAAAAUAAAAAGAGUUAUAUUAAUCUUCCCAUCACCCCAACAAAAUUCAAAUAAUACUAAAAAUUUUAUCCCACAAAAAAUAAAAAUUAAAUUAAACUCUAUAGGGUCUUCUCGUCCCAAAAAAAUAUCUAGGCAUUUUAACCUAAAAUUUAAAUUCAACAAAAUAAUAAUUUAAGAAAGCAAAUACCUCGUCAAAUCAUUCAUACCAGACCCCAAUUAAGAGACUACUGAUUAUGCUACCUUUGCACAGUUAAAAUACUGCGGCCAUUUAAUUAAUUACCAGCGGGCAGACCCUACUUAUUAUAUAGAAAACAAACUCAACAAGAGAUGUUUUUGUUAAACAGGCG